UUUUUUUUUUUGGCUCUCAAAACACUUACCAAACUGAUUAAAAUAUAAAUUUCACUCAGAAGCGUGUACUUUUUUUUGGAUUGGAAUGUAAGAGUUGUGCAUAUUGUGUUUCACCUUUUUUUUUCUGUUUGAGGUUUGAUUGGCAAUCUGAGAAGGAUGUUGUAGUUUCUCUACCAAGUUUGUAUUUGUUUACUUUCGCUUCAUGGAUUUUACUAAAUAUUAAU
rnacentral:misc_RNA from 1 species